AUGCUUUCAGGAUCCCAGCAAAGAAAGAAUCUGAUAAUGAUGGAGAUACCUAGCGUUUUCGGUCCUGGAGAUAGGUCCAUCACUCUCUACGAGGGCAUCAAUCAUCAUCCAGAUCCAGAUUCCAUUUUCAGGAGUAAGACCGUCGCACAGCUGGGAUGUGGCGACUCCAUUGCGCUUGCAGAAAAAUGGUGCCCUUCCAAGGUCUAUGGUCUGGAUAUUAACCCAAGGGCAAUCAAGAUUGCAUGGAUAAAUCUUUAUUUGAAUGCACUAGACGACGAUGGUCUUCCAAUUUACGACAGGGAGGGGAAAACACUACUUGAUAGAGUUGAAUUCCAUGAAUCUGAUCUUCUUUUUUACUGUAGAGACAACAGGAUAGAACUUGAUAGCAUUGUUGGAUGCAUACCGCAGGUAGGGUCAAACGAAAUUGUAGUAGACCCAGAACUGAAGGAAAGCAAUGCCAAAGAGGAGUUCUUGUAUUCCUUGAGCAGCUACUAUGCUCUUCAAGGUUUUGUGGAGGACCAAUUUGGCCUCGGGUUGAUUGCUCGGGCAGUUGAAGAAGGGAUGGCUGUCAUAAAGCCUACGGGUACUAUGAUAUUCAACGUGGGAGGCUGACCAGGUCAAGGUGUCUGUGAAUGCCUAUUUCUACGCCAUGGAUUUCACAUCACUAAGCUCUGGCAAACAAAAAUUAUGCAGGCUGCGAACAUGGAUAUUUCAGCCUUAGUUGAAUUUGAGAAAAAUAGCCCGCAUCGAUUUGAGUUCUUCAUGGGUUCUGUGGGGGAUCAGCCUGUUUCUGCACGCACUGCCUUGGCGUACAUGAAAUCUGGUGGCCAUGUUUCACAUGCUUUGUCCGUGUAUAGCUGUCAACUUCGCCAACCCAACCAGGUGAAGAAACUAACUGAGAUACUUAAAGAUGGAUUCCAUGAAGUCAGCAGGUCCCUCGAUUUGUCCUUCGCUGAUGAUUCUACUGCCCAUGAGAAGAUCACAUUCCUAGUAUACCUAGCUAGUUUCUUAAAUGCGACCAAGCCCAAUCCUUGUCAACCUCCAGCUGGAUGUUUGAACUUCAGGAAACUUGUUGCUGAAUUUAUGAAGAGCUACCAUCACAUCCCAUUAAAUCCUGAUAAUUUUGUUGUAUUCCCUUCCCGUGCGGUGGCAGUCGAAAAUUAUCUUCGACUGUUCUCACCAGCGCUUGCAAUUGUUGAUGAACAUUUGACCACACACUUGCCCAUGCAAUGGUUAGGAUAUUCGGAAAUCGAGGGAAGAAUAGAUUGCAACAAUGCUGAAGGCGUGAUCACUGUAAUUGAAGCACCACGCCAAUCAGAUUUACUGAUUGAGUUGGUCAGAAAAUUGAAGCCUCAGGUUGUCGUUACUAGCAUUGCCCAGUUUGAGGCUAUCACCAGUGCUGCUUUCUCGAACAUACUAAGCGCAACAGAAGAUGUUGGUUGCCGGUUGUUCCUAGAUAUUUCAGAGAACCUGGAGUGGUCUUGUCUGCCAAGCUCAAAUGGUGUGUUGAAAUAUCUUGUUGGAAACACCCUACCUUCACAUGCGACUAUAUUGUGGGGUCUAGUAAAAAACCAGGUUUAUUCUGAUCUGGAAGUUGCUUUUGCCAUUUCUGAGGAUGCUUCUGUCUGCAAGGCAUUGUCACAAACAAUUGAGCUAUUGGAAGAAAAUACUUCUGUGAUCAGCCAGCAAUAUUAUGGCUCUCUUUUCCAUGAGCUGCCGGCGUUUCAAAUUGGUGACCGUCAUCAGCAUGCACAUCAAGUGAGACAAGCGGCAGAAAAGAUACUUGAGAAGAUGAUACAGUUUUCUAAUUCAGCCAUGUCUACCCUAAAAGAAGCUGAAUUUUUCACUCCUGAUUCCAAGGAUUCUAGUGUCAUUCAUAUGGAUUUAGACCGCAGCUUCUUACCAGUACCUUCUCCACUGAGCGCCUCCAUUUUAGAAAGUUUUGCUCGGCGGAACAUCAUGGAUUUCGAAACUGACGUUCGUUCCAGCAUCGAACAGCUGGUGGGAAAUAACUAUGGUUUCCCAGGAGACAGUUGUCCCGAAAUUAUAUAUGGCAGCACCUGUCUCACACUCUUCAACAAGCUUGUCCUUUGCUGUAUGAGGGAGCAAGGCGCCUUCCUUUUCCCCAUGGGCACCAAUGGGCACUAUGUCUCGGCAGCAAAGUUUAUGAAUGCAAAAACAUCGACGAUUAAAACAAAUGUACGUUCAGGCUUCAAGAUUGAACCGACCGCUCUGGGAGCAGCUCUAGAGAAUGUACAUUGGCCAUGGGUGUAUAUUUCUGGCCCUACAGUUAACCCUUCUGGUUCCCUGUACAGUGAUGACGAGAUAAAAGAUUUGCUAUCCGUUUGUGCUGAACAUGGAGCUAGGGUAGUGAUAGACACCUCCUUCUCUGGUAUGGAGUUCCAAAGCAGAGAUGGCUGGAGCCUGUGGAAUUUGGAUAGUUUCUCUUAUAAUAUUGCUUCAUGUCUCGCACUCCGCGUUUUUAUGCUCGGGGAGCUGUCCCUUCAGCUGACCAUGAGUGGGUUUGACUUCGGGUUUAUGAUUUACAUUGACCCGUCCUUGAUCAAACAUAUGUUAACAAGCCUGAGUCAACCACAUCGCACAUUGAAGUAUACUUUCAGAAAACUGCUGUGUCUUAAGAACAAGAGGGACCAGCGCUUCUCUGAUCUCAUUGAGGAGCAAAAGGAGACACUGAAGCAUCGUGCCGACAAGUUGACUAAGACACUCGAGAGCUGUGGCUGGGAUGUUGUCGGCUGCCAUGGUGGUAUCUCAAUGCUGGCGAAACCGACGGCCUACAUCGGCAAAUCGUUCUUUCGAAGGGGUUUUCACGUAAAAAUCCAUGUCUCUUUGUCUCAUGAAGCGCUCCUUAGAUCCACUGGACUCUGCAUGUCCAGCAGCAAGUGGACCGGGAUACCGGACUACUGCCGGUUCAGCUUUGCUCUUGAGAGCAGCGAAUUCGACCAGGCGAUGGACUGCAUAACUCGGUUCAGGGAGUUGGUUCUAGGAGACAAUGCACAGAUGAAUGUUAAUAGUAGCUAG
rnacentral:rRNA from 1 species